GCGGGUGUGGCGGAAUUGGCAGACGCACCAGAUUUAGGAUCUGGCGCCUACGGGCGUGGGGGUUCAAGUCCCUUCACCCGCA
rnacentral:tRNA from 2 species